UACGGAGGGGGCGAGCGUUAUUCGGAAUUAUUGGGCGUAAAGGGCGCGUAGGCGGUUCGAUAAGUCAAAGGUGAAAUCCCUCGGCUCAACUGAGGAACUGCCUUUGAGACUGUCGAGCUUGAGGCCGGGAGGGGGUAGCGGAAUUCCCAGUGUAGCGGUGAAAUGCGUAGAUAUUGGGAGGAACACCAGUGGCGAAGGCGGCUACCUGGACCGGUUCUGACGCUGAGGAGCGAAAGCGUGGGUAGCAAACAGG
rnacentral:rRNA from 1 species